UACAAUGUAUGCUGGCACCAUGACUGCCCCAAGUCUUCUAAAAUAGAUCAAUCAAGUGGGGCUUUUCUUCUAACGCUCCAUGUGCGCAGCCGCCAUGGCCGCCCCAAGCCUUCGAUCAAGGGUAGGUUCUUCUUCUCACGCGUCAAGCACGAUGGCGUAGUGGUCGCCCCAUGCCUUCACCAGGUUGACACUUAAUGUUUUGCAAUUUGCAUGUACAUGUACAACCCGACGACCAGUGAUUCUCUACUGUAUAUGUCUCCACGUUAGCACAUCAUGGUGUUCUUACUCUGACCCGUACAUCCUUACAUUCCCUUUACUCCCAGCUUACUCUUCCUCUGAUCAUCAAGUGGAUAAAAGCAUAGAUGCAUAUAGCUGCCUGCAUCACGUAUUUAACUUAAUAUAAAGAGAUCCCCUCGGAGAUAAGUUGUUGGGUCCUACUUGCCUUCACCUGCUGAAAAAUCAAGAUCAGAUUGAUCCUCGGACACUAGCGCAGAAUUUCAUCGACGAUACCGAUGGGCAAUGCCACUUAGUGCCUAAACGGCAGGCCUUUGCCACGUAGACGAAGGUUUAGAUCCGCGAUGGACAGGGUUGUUUGUGAAGCUAUGGCAGCAUCUAGGUUCGAUCACUACAACUCUAUGCUUGUGCUAAUGCUGAAGCUGGGAGGUGAGGUUCACAGCAGUCAAUGGAAGAAGACUAAGCCGUUUGCGUAUGGGUUCAUGCAGAUUGACUUUGAAGAUCGUCGCGAGUCAUACUACAUAGAAGUUUGUAACUUACCACCUUACAAAACUACCUCGCGGAGGUGAGAUCAUGUGCAUUCAUCUUCUAGCCAAAUGAAGAGGAGAAAAGUCAAAUGCCAACGACUACAGGAGAAAUCAUGGCAUGGGGAUCAUGAUAUGUUAUGAUAAAUCGGAUGGGCUCCCCCAGUCCCACGCGCGUAGUACCAGGUCAAGAAAUUUCUAGCAGAUGCCACACUAAUAAUAUAGCUGGCGGCUUAUCAGUUCAUGACUCCUGCUCUAAUCAUCGUUGUGCUUAAUCAUUACCCCUAGAUGAA